CCAAAAGACGGAGUCCUGAGGAAAUGCUACAUUCAAAUUCAUGCUAGUUUUUCGUGGCUACCGACCCUAACUUUAAUAAACAUCAUAAAGAAGAUACACGGAUAACUCAGAACUAAUACAGACAAGAAAUACAAGAACAACAAGAAAACACAAGAGACUCAUCGUAAAUCCCCCUUGAACAAGCACUUUCCUGUCCAGCUCUUCAUUGGGUGUCCGACAGAUUCAGGAGUAACAGGGUUCUUAAGGUAUCGUGCCAAGGAGCUAUGGCGGAUCCCCUAAUAAGUUUCCCCAGACGACACCAGCAACGACAAAAGCAACAGCGAGAAGUUCAACGUCAAAUUCCGAAAUACUAUACCAAUGAAAUCAAUAAAUCAUAGUCAAAUAACA